rnacentral:rRNA from 1 species
AACGAACGCUGGCGGCAGGCUUAACACAUGCAAGUCGAACGCUCCGCAAGGAGAGUGGCAGACGGGUGAGUAACACGUGGGAACGUACCCUUUACUACGGAACAACUCAGGGAAACUGGAGCUAAUACCGUAUGUGCCCUUUGGGGGAAAGAUUUAUCGGUAAAGGAUCGGCCCGCGUUGGAUUAGCUAGUUGGUGGGGUAAAGGCCUACCAAGGCGACGAUCCAUAGCUGGUCUGAGAGGAUGAUCAGCCACAUUGGGACUGAGACACGGCCCAAACUCCUACGGGAGGCAGCAGUGGGGAAUAUUGGACAAUGGGCGCAAGCCUGAUCCAGCCAUGCCGCGUGUGUGAUGAAGGCCUUAGGGUUGUAAAGCACUUUCACCGGAGAAGAUAAUGACGGUAUCCGGAGAAGAAGCCCCGGCUAACUUCGUGCCAGCAGCCGCGGUAA